AGUUUUGCGAACGCACAUUGACUUUCUCUCGCCUUACUUCUAAGGAUAGAUAGAAAAGAAAGGGUUGGAGAGAGUGACUUUCAUUCUCUCCUUUCUAAAGCUGCGAAAGGCGGCCCCCCCAGAACAAAGCCCCACCCUUCUUUUCCCCCUUUAAUGAAAGACCCUCGCCCCGCUUCCUAUUCAUUUGUGGGUCGGGACCCGAGGGUCUUUUUUU
rnacentral:lncRNA from 1 species